AAAUAUUCAACAAUUUCGGCUAGUAUAUAGAUUUUGUUGUAAACGAUGGGUUGUUGGUAAUGGGAUAUUAAUUAAUAUAAAAUAUGUAAAAAAAUAUAAUAAAAUUCUAUCAUCAUUAAUAAUCAUCAUCAUGAGAUGAGAUUGAAAGAAUACAAAAAGGCAAUGUAACAAUAAUAAUAAUAAUAAUAACAAUAAUAAUAAUAAUACACGUAUUUUGUGCACAUGUUUUUUUUUUUUAAUUACAUGAGACUAUUGCUCAGAUUACAACUCAUAUACAUGAGAUUAUUACUGAUAUUUACAAAUCAGACUAUUACUGGGACCAACUGACAUCAAUACUAAUGGAGCUCUGCCCAGAUUUUAACCCUCACAAAUAUUCGAGGGAUGUCUACUCCUCACUCAUGGGUAAGGGAGAAGACUACCUUCACUCAAAUUAAUUGAGGAAGAAAAUACCCCCACAAUACUUUUGUGGGAGUUCGAACUGCUGCCCUCCAAGUUGGAGGGCAGCAGCCCUGGCCACUCGGGCUACUGCCCGAGUGGUU
rnacentral:lncRNA from 1 species